GCCAGGCGUGGUUGUGCACGCCUGUAAUCCCAGUGGCUUGGGAGACUGAGGCAGGAGGAUUGUGAGCGAGUUCAAAGCCAGCCUCAGCAAAAGAGAGGCACUAAGCAACUCAAUGAGACCCUGUCUCUA
rnacentral:sRNA from 1 species